rnacentral:tRNA from 1 species
GGGGCUGUAGCUCAGUGGUAGAGUACCUGCCUCACACAUAUGAGGCACUGGGUUCGACCCUCAGCACCA